CAAUCGUCGAGUGAACUGCUCGAAUUGUCUCUCCUGCUGAUUGGCCCCCGACGAAUUGUUUCAAGUGCGGGGUAUUAGAAACUGCUAUCGUUUCAUUGGCUUUCGACGAAGUGUGUCAGAUAACAGCAAUAAUCCCCGUUUUUGAUUGUGCUAACCUGCGCAAUGAAGCUGGAGACCUGGUGCUGAUGGAAUCAAAGAAAGCAUCCGUCAUGGAGAAACUCCACAUGGCCCAAGUGGCUAAAGGAGUGUCGUUUGUUCCAAAGGACUCUGAAGCUGUGCUGGGGGAGGCCAAGGUCAGAGUUGUUGACGCUGGAGGGGAUCCCUUUGAUCAAUUGGUGUUAGCGAGUCAGAGUGCCAUUCAAUUUGGGCAGUACAGGGGGAAAACCUUCAAGUGGCUUCUUGAAAAUUACCUUGUUUACAUCCUCAUGGUCCUAUCUGCGCAUCAGUGGGAGCGUGAGGCUUGGAGACUGAACAGAGGGGCCCUCAUGGAGAAAAAGGAUGCCUUUCUCCAAUACGCCUGCUCAUUCAAGAAUCAAGAAUAAACAUGACAUGAUAGCUGAAUCAUGACACCUAUGCCAUCUGCAUUAUCUUCCCAACAUGUUCGGCAUCCUUCACACCGAGCUUCUCCCACACAAAGCAGACAUUCCCACCCAGUCACAGCACGUGGUACGUUUUUUAUUGUAAUUCUAGCCUAGUUCAAAUGUUUGAACUUCUUUAUGAUUUACAUUUUUAUUUUUUUGCCAAAGAUGAGGAGCCAACGGAUGCUGUCUUGGUGGCCUCAGCUAUGAAUAAAAGCAUACCAAUGUAGCAGAAUUAAUACAGACAAGUAAAGCUAAUAAUAAAAGAACAUUUAUUUUAUAUUUAGCAUAUCCUGAUUUGUAUUCUUUGACUACUUUGCUUUAGUGUUUCAUAAUUAAUUUUGGAAUGUUCUUUCUUCUUGUAGGUGUGAAGAGGACCGGAUGGGGCUCCAGAGUAUGAAAGGGUGGUGGAGCUGGCGAGGUACCUGGUCGAGCUCAGGAAAAACAACCCGUCUCUCGGAUAGGGAAGCCACUGUUAUUAUCGUGCUGUGGGACAGACUCCCAGACAGUGACAAACAGGGGGUUUCCUAUCCACCCAGGCACAAGGACAAGCUUUUGUAGGGCAGGUUUAAAGCCUCACACUCGAAAAACAAAUCCUGCCACAGAAAAGAGAGCCUUAAGCGGUGUGUCCUGGGGCAAGGAUCAGGAUCUGCACAAUGGCCUACAAUAAGCAGAAUUGUAGAGGCUGUAUGUCUGGAGCUGUGCUCCAUAAAUCCAGCAGGUAGGAUAAAGUGGGGCGUUACUAUGAACCGGUGGUCAGCCAUUCUCUACGACUACCAGGCCAUCAGGAGGCUGGUGGGGAACUGCCCUACACUGAAGGGAAAGACCCGAAUUCAGCUGUUCGAGGUCAAUCAACGGACACUUUCUGUUUGGUACAACGACUACAGGAAGAAGAUAGAGCCAAAUGUCUUGUCACUGAGUUUGCCCCUACCUCAGAUGAGCAUGAUGUCUCACACCCCUCUUCCAGUGGCCAGUCAGAAGCCUUCAGGGACAUUAGGGGCUGAAACAGCUAUUCGACUCUACCACUUUGUUGUGAACCCGGACAAGUCAAAUCAGGCCACUUGGCAGGGACAAUGCCCACCUCACCCUGCAGCUGCGCCCCUCUCUGCUGCAGGGGAAUCUCCCCUUAAAGCCUUGAGCAGGUCAACACUUUGGAGAAAAAGGAAGGCAGCAGAGAGUUUGGCUUGUGAACAGGCCCGCAAACACUACAGGGCCGUCAGUGUGGGCAACCAUGCAGAAGAGAGUUUGGGCACGCCAGGAUUGGAGGGACAUUCUUCUGUGCCACCACAGAGGGGAAGACUGGAUUAAAGAGAUGAGAAAUUAAGGAAAUCCUCCUCCUCCAAUGUAAAUUAAUUUAUUGUGAAUAUAUACACAUAGUAAACUAUUUUUACAUAGAAAGUUAUUUUUUUUGCAAUUUUUUGCUCUUAUGCUCUUGUUUUAGUGUAUAUAGCAUGCAUAAUGCAUUCAUAUUGAAGAACAUGGUCUAUUUGCCCACUUGUACAGUGGAUUUAUGGGGUAUUUUAUGAUUUUUGCAUGUGCUUCCAGUAUUUACUAGCUAACCCUUGAAUUACCGGAUACAUGUUUGUGGUGUGGCCGUUGGCAGAGUUGAACUUCUGGGACUGUUGCUUGUUAAGGUUGUUCCUCUCUGCCCACUUCUUUACAGCAUUAUCCCUCUGGCUUUCGGUUCCUGGGAUCUCUGGACUAUUUUUUGUUGUUUCUGCCGUGUUUGGAGUUAACAAGCAGCUUUGUUUUUGUGCAGGAUAAACUCUCUUCAACGGCUUCCUGCUUUUGAGUACUUUGUGUUCCGUGACACACACAGAAUUAUCUUUUAAGGACGGGGUCAACAGCCCGCUGCUCGGCCAGCCACAGCUCUACUGUUUUACCAUCAUAUGUCGAGCAAAACCUUUUACUCUUGUACUGAGAAUGUCCACAUUAUUUUGUCUUAGGCUGAAGGCAAAGUUGACAUGUAAAAAUUUUGGAAACCUUUCUGUUCCUGAUUGUAUUGCCUUCCUCAAUAGCUUUCUGCUGCACCUGUUCUUUGUCUUCUUCGCCAGGCAGUCGAGGAACAUCCUGACCAAUGUCUGUACCAUGAACCCUCUUCUGCUCAGAGAGUCAUUCAGAAACACUUCUACAUACUGCAGUGGCACAGAAACUCUUUCCCUUGUAAAAACUGUCCGAACUCUAAUCUUUUCGGCUGACCACACAUGACAUGUUAAUCCCUUGGGAUCUCUGCAUCUUGCUGGCUUCUUACCAUACUGCAAGGCCCUUCGGUCUUCUUCGGCUCUUUUCUUUCGCCUCCAUGCAGUGGCCCCUGGCACCCGUUUACAGACUUCCCCAUCCACAGAGGGUUGUGAAGCAGUUUGGGGUAAACCUGUCAGAGACAUUAAAUCAUUAAUAUUAUAAAGUACAUUCCUCAACUAAUUUAUAUUUUAUUCAUGUGCAUUAUUUAGUCACCUGGUUUAGCUGGAUGUCUCAGCACAUCAGGCCAUUGAGAUUUUCUUAAUUUUUUCCCCUUUUUGUUUUUUUCUCUGAGGCUGCAGACUUUUUGAAGGCUUGAUCUCCAAAAACUUUGCUUGGCAGAGAUAACAGGAGGCCAGUAAGGUUUACAGAAUUUGGCAAUUCUUUUGGCUUUCUCUGCCGUUGCAAAAGGUCCCCACUGCUACAGGUUUUCCUAAAUCAUUCUUCAUCCUCUCCAUUAAAAAUAGACAGAAUAACUUUGCAGACACAGGGGACACCACCGGAUCUUCCAUAUUUAAUUAAAUACAGGUGCUGGGGCAGUGACUCAAGAUUGUUCUGGAUCUUUUGCAUACAGAGAAGAUUGUUUGGGUUCCGCUGAGCAGAGAGGUUGUGAGAUUGCUGCGGGGGUGUACGCUAGGGAACAGUGCCACAGCUCUGUACAGGCACCUGUGCAUCAGACACAAAGAGCAUUGGCUGAGCCAGUCAGCAAUGUAUCUGUCUGUGCUGAAGACGUUUGUGAACCAGGAAACUGAUCCCAGCAGUCUCGUUGCCCCACUGCCACAGAUGGGGCCCGUGCCUGGUCCUUCUUGGCUGCUGUCCGUGUACGCUAAAGACGUACUGACACGGCUUUCUGAGCUUAGGCCCGUGUCAGCUCUGUCUAUGGUUCCAUCUUGAAGAUGGAUUCCACCAAAAAGCCAACACCUCAUUUAGUGUCACAUUUAGUUAUUAUAAUUAUAAAAAAAUAAAAAUGUUCCUUGCAUGAUAAUAGUAAUAUUUCUUAUCGUGUGCUUUAGAUCACCAAGAAGCUAGCUGGUGAAGUUGCUGGCACCGCUUCGUGGGCGACAGAUGUGUGGAACGAAAUUGGACAAGUCCUCAUGUGUAUCCUCACAGAAAGAGAGGGAAACGGCCUGCUGCCCAUGUGUUCCGGAUUUGUGGAUCGCUACCGUCGAGCUGGAGAAGCUCCUCCUCAAAUACUUUACGUGGACCAGGACUGCUGCGCCUCAGGAGGUAAAGGCAAGGCGACAGCAAUGUUUAGCGAGUGGGACCUGCUGGUGGUCAUGCACACUGUCGCCGCCGCACUCGUGGGGCACCGGAGACUAAGGAGCUGAUCGAACAGCUCCUAAAGGACUUCAUGUAGGCAACGGACACAAAGGGAGUAAGGCUCUUAGACAACGACAGGAUGAACGAGAUACGGACACAGCAGCUGCACAUCAACUGUAUCCAGGACCCACCACGCGUGCAGCUGUACAGAAAGAUAGGGCAGGUGACAAAAGGGGGCAUCAUUCUACCCCAGUAUCGCUAUGCACGUGGCUCGACAUCCUUGGAGUCCUUUCACUUGCACUUGAACCGCUUUGUGCCAGGAACAAGUGCAAAUGACCUUCAUUUUCAGAUGUUCUUGCUGAAAUGGCUUGUACAGUGGAAUGAGGCUCAUGCGGUUGCUGAGGUUGAAGGUGGGAGCAAAAAGGAUGUCAUGUUCGGUGUUCAUCUGUAGCGGUACGCCAACACCCUGAGCCAGCAGUUUAUGGGCCUUAAUUUGGUGGAGGACUACACCAGCACUGGCGAAUACACGGAUGAACUCAUUGGUGUGCAAUAUUUGUAUUCCCAAACAAACACCGCUUUUGGGGGAGAUUUCGGUGACGACCCUGAUAUUCCGGAUGGGAUUCAGGAGCAAGACCUUGAGAGUGAUCUGGAGACUGAUGAGGGGUUGCGGAUAUUGCUAUGAGUGGUGAGCCCCUCGAAAUCAUGCUGAGGUUGGCAACUAUGCGUGCAGCAGCAGGCAGAGGCCAUGCAACCUCGUGGUCUGUCAUUGACACGGAAAGAGUCUUUCCUGAGAGAUGAGAGGCCCUCUCAGAUGCAGAGGAUGCAGAGUGAUGCAGCAGAGGUUACUUUGCUCGAGCCCAUGAUAGACAAGCCGCCCAGUCAGAGCCAGAUGGAGAUCCUGGGACCAGAUGGCAAACUUGGUUAUGAUCACGUCAUCAGGUUAGCACGUCACAUACGAGUUCGACAUUCCUGCGGAUGCAUCGGGACAGGCAGUGCAGCGUGUUCAAGGCAAACCCUCUUCAGUGGCUGUUGUCAUGCCUGCUGCAGCACAACAGGUGCAAGGCCAGUCCCCUCCAGUCCAGGAAAGUGUUGCAGUCCCUGACCCAGCCCACUUGCUUCAGGCUACAGACACUGAAGAUAUUGAUGUACCUGCUGCUACACCUCCUGGUCCAAAGGUGCCGAGAACCACAGCUUGGCGGCAGAGGCAGCUGCAGCACAAGGUGCCAUUAAGAAAAAGAGGCAAAAGACAGAACAAUGUUUGUAAAAAGUGUGGCCGACUAAAGAGUUUGGCGAGUCAGUUUCGAAGGGUUCACUUUUGUACAAAAGCCUCAGGAAAAAUCUGUUGAGCAGUGGACAGAGGAAAUGAGGAGAGGACAACGCUGAAAUUAUAUAUACAGACAUGUAUAUAUUGUUUUUGUUAGUUUAUUGUUGUUUUUCUUCUGUGUAUAUUUAAUAUUAUAAAGCUUGCAAUUUUCUCAUUAAUGUGGACAUUUCUACUAUAUUAAAUAUUUAAAUUUAAUGUGCAUUGUGCAAUAACCCAAGACUUAAAGAACAUAAUUAUAUGAAGAAAGCACUUUAUGAAUAAAAAUCAAUAAAUUGUUGCAUUUUGA